GCGCGCGCCUGUGAAUUACGCAGCCGCUGGAGGAAACUCUAGCGUGAAAAUCGGGUUAAUUGUCGGGAAGCCUAAAGCCGUUACCCGGCCAAGGUAAUCCGCAGCCAAGCCCCGCCCAUAAAGCGGGGAAGGUUCAGAGACUAUACGCCCGACACCCCAUCUUCGCUCUUGCGAAGGGGGUGAUGAGAUAGUCCAAGCCUUAAAGAAAUUUAGGG
rfam:Candidate division WWE3 bacterium RIFCSPLOWO2_02_FTLL_53_10 rifcsplowo2_02_scaffold_12195, whole genome shotgun sequence.